UAGGGAAUCUUCCACAAUGGGCGCAGCCUGAUGGAGCAACACCGCGUGAGUGAAGAAGGGUUUCGGCUCGUAAAGCUCUGUUGUUAAAGAAGAACACGUAUGAGUGUAACUGUUCAUACGUUGACGGUAUUUAACCAGAAAGUCACGGCUAACUACGUGCCAC
rnacentral:rRNA from 1 species